rnacentral:hammerhead_ribozyme from 1 species
ACCCAGCUGAUGAGUCCAAAAUAGGACGGAACGCGCGUCCUGAAU